rnacentral:rRNA from 1 species
UACGUAGGGUGCAAGCGUUGUCCGGAAUUAUUGGGCGUAAAGAGCUCGUAGGCGGUUUGUCGCGUCUGCUGUGAAAUCCCGAGGCUCAACCUCGGGCCUGCAGUGGGUACGGGCAGACUAGAGCGCGGUAGGGGAGAUUGGAAUUCCUGGUGUAGCGGUGGAAUGCGCAGAUAUCAGGAGGAACACCGAUGGCGAAGGCAGAUCUCUGGGCCGUAACUGACGCUGAGGAGCGAAAGCGUGGGGAGCGAACAGG